CCUACGGGAGGCAGCAGUGGGGAAUCUUGCGCAAUGGGCGAAAGCCUGACGCAGCCAUGCCGCGUGAAUGAUGAAGGUCUUAGGAUUGUAAAAUUCUUUCACCGGGGACGAUAAUGACGGUACCCGGAGAAGAAGCCCCGGCUAACUCCGUGCCAGCAGCCGCGGUAAU
rnacentral:rRNA from 1 species